AUUGAACGCUGGCGGCAUGCCUAACACAUGCAAGUCGAACGGUAACAGGUUAAGCUGACGAGUGGCGACCGGGUGAGUAAUGUAUCGGUACGUGCCCAGUCGGGGGGGAUGACUGCACGGAAGAGCAGCUAAUACCGCAUAGGGGCUGAGGGGGAGAGCGGGGGAUGGCAAGACCUCUGGCGAUUGGAGCGGCCGAUAUCCGAUUAGGUAGUUGGUGAGGUAAAGGCUCACGAAGCCGACGAUCUGUAGCUGGUCUGAGAGGACGACCAGCCACACUGGGACUGAGACACGGCCCAGACUCCUACGGGAGGCAGCAGUGGGGACUUUUGGACAAUGGGCGCAAGCCUGAUCCAGCAAUGCCGCGUGCGGGAAGAAGGCCUUCGGGUUGUAAACCGCUUUUGUCAGGGAAGAAAAGGUUCUGGCUAAUAACUGGGACUCAUGACGGUACCUGAAGAAUAAGCACCGGCUAACUACGUG
rnacentral:rRNA from 1 species